rnacentral:rRNA from 1 species
UGGGGAAUAUUGCACAAUGGGCGCAAGCCUGAUGCAGCCAUGCCGCGUGUGUGAAGAAGGCCUUCGGGUUGUAAAGCACUUUCAGCGGGGAGGAAGGCGUUAAGGUUAAUAACCUUGGCGAUUGACGUUACCCGCAGAAGAAGCACCGGCUAACUCCGUGCCAGCAGCCGCGGUAAUACGGAGGGUGCAAGCGUUAAUCGGAAUUACUGGGCGUAAAGCGCACGCAGGCGGUCUGUCAAGUCGGAUGUGAAAUCCCCGGGCUCAACCUGGGAACUGCAUUCGAAACUGGCAGGCUAGAGUCUUGUAGAGGGGGGUAGAAUUCCAGGUGUAGCGGUGAAAUGCGUAGAGAUCUGGAGGAAUACCGGUGGUGAAGGCGGCCCCCUGAACAAAGACUGACGCUCAAGUGCGAAAGCGUGGGGAGCAAACAGG